GUAGGGAAUAUUGGGCAAUGGAAGGAAUUCUGACCCAGCCAUGCCGCGUGCAGGAAUACAGUCCUAUGGACUUUAAACUGCUUUUAUUAUAGAGUAACCUGGGGGACGUGUCCCCCACUGCAAGUAUAUAAUGAAUAAGCAUCGGCUAACUCCGUGCCAGCAGCCGCGGUAAUACGGGGGAUGCAAGCGUUAUCCGGAUUUAUUGGGUUUAAAGGGUGCGCAGGCUGAUCGGUAAGUCAUGGGUGAAAAGUCACUGCUUAACAGUGAUCGUGCCUAUGAUACUGCCGGACUAGAGUUUAAGAGGUGUAACUGGAAUGUGAUGUGUAGCGGAGAAAUGCUUAGAUAUGUCACAGAACGCCAAUCGUGAAGACAGGUUACAAACUUAAUACUGACGCUCAUGCACGAAAGCGUGGGGAUCAAACAGGAUUAGAAACCCGGGUAGUCC
rnacentral:rRNA from 1 species